AAUAAACCAAAAUAAAUAAAUAAACCAAAUUAAAUAAAUAAACCAAAAUAAAUAAAUACAUAAGUGAACUACUUCCUGACGCUGCUCUCUCUGAACACUACAUUUCCCAGACUGCCACAGAGAACAGAUUUCCUGAAACUGAAGGCUCCUCGCGCCGCGCCGCUCAGCUCAGGCUUAAGCCCCGCCCACCUCUGAAAACACCCGCUCGUCUUUCCCCCCUCUCUGAGCAGCGGUUGGACGCCUCGGAAGUCAAUUUAGGAAGUUCGGAGCACUCGUGUCGUGCGCUGUUUGUGUUGAAUAACGGUCCUGAAGGAAGAUUAGUGCUGGGACCAUGAGCUGGACAUGAGCUGGACGUGAGCUGGACAUGAGCUGGACAUGAGCUCAGAUCUUCAGGCUUGCUGAGGUUUUUGGAGGAAUUAUAUCGCUGUUUGAUCUUCUGAACAAACAAACAAACAACAAACAAAGUAAGCGUGCUACCAGUUUUGCUUAUUUUCCUUUGAAACAUUUCAUAAUAUGUAACAAGAAAUGCAUCAUCGUGUUCUUUUGAGACUUUGUAAACUCAUUUAUCGAAAUUCUGUUGUAUUUUUUUCAUAGUUAGAUGCUCAACAGGGGAUUUUAAAUCACACACACACACACACACACACACACACACACACACACACACACAUAUAUAUACACACACACAGUACCUAUACAGUACCUAUGGGCCUGCCUAUUUAAGCUGGUGGGAUGCUGUACAGAUCAAAACAUUGUUGUUACAGUUGAGGUCAUAAGUUUACAUACGUCAGUCCUGCCCUGAAUAAGCUAUUUCACAUAACAGAUGUUUACAUACAGUCCACAAUUUACACAAAUGAACCCGUUCAAAAGUUUACACACGCUUGAUUCUUAAUACCGUGUGUCUUU
ensembl:lncRNA